GCCGAGCUCAGUUGCGCGGGCUUGUAACCCAGGUGGGGGCAUUAAGGUGGUGCGGAUGUUUGGUACCGAGUCUUGGUCUGGGCACAUGCUGUUCCUUGGUUGGCCUGCCCGUUCCAAGUUGGUAGUGGCCGUUGGAGGCUUGGGCGAAGGCCCUGGGCUUCCUUGGACCUAGAGUGGCAGGAACGGCGUGAGGCUGUCUUCACAGAGCAGCGAUCACUGCUCGCUAUUAACGGUGGGAGGAUAACAGGCCACUGCAGCAUGGGCUCGCUUAAGGCCCAGACUCAUACUAAAUAGACCACCAUUUUU
rnacentral:SRP_RNA from 1 species